GCCAUUUUCUGCAGGGCAGCGCGCAUUCGUAAUGCGGGGGUCACAGGUUCGAGUCCUGUAAGCGGCACCA
rnacentral:tRNA from 1 species